GUGGGGAAUAUUCCGCAAUGGACGAAAGUCUGACGGAGCAACGCCGCGUGAGUGAUGAAGGUUUUCGGACUGGAAAGCUCUGUUGUUUGGGACGAAAGUGCCUCUUGCGAACAGUUACGGGUAUUGACGGUACUAAACGAGGAAGCCACGGCUAACUACGUGCCAGCAGCCGCGGUAAUACGUAGGUGGCAAGCGUUGUCCGGAAUUAUUGGGCGUAAAGAGCAUGUAGGCGGGAAUCUAAGUCUGUUGUUAAAAUGCGGGGCUCAACCCCGUAUUGCGAUGGAAACUGGGUUUCUUGAGUGCAGGAGAGGAAAGGGGAAUUCCCAGUGUAGCGGUGAAAUGCGUAGAUAUUGGGAGGAACACCAGUGGCGAAGGCGCCUUUCUGGACUGUGUCUGACGCUGAGAUGCGAAAGCCAGGGUAGCGAACGGGAUUAGAUACCCGAGUAGUCC
rnacentral:rRNA from 1 species